GCACAGCGCAGGCGCUGGCGCGGAGAGGCGCAGGCCCAGGUCCACUCCCCAGCUGUGAAAGGAGGAGCUCUACGGUGACUUUGAAGACUUGGAAACAGGGGACAUGCACAAGGGAAAAUCGGGCCCCGACACUCAGAAUGAAGAUAUAGAGAAACAAGGAAGAAAUUGACCCCGACGAAGAAGAAAGUGCCAAGAAAAAGCAUUUGGAUAAGAAGAGAAAAUUGAAGGAGAUGUUUGAUGCGGAAUAUGAUGAAGGAGAAAGCACAUAUUUUGAUGAUCUUAAAGGAGAAAUGCAGAAAGAAGCACAGGUGAUCAGUGGCCCGUGUGGCUUAUGGACACACCAGAGCUCCCAGGGGAAGUGCUCUGAAAACUCAUCCUGGUCAGAGUUCAGAAGGACACGUGGAGUAUAAGGUCAGAUGCGGAGAUAAAGGGAGAUGGUGUGGCCCUCCUGCCUGGGGUUGCUGAGCAGGUUGCUGGAGACAGUGAUGUCACUCUGAAGGAGACAGACACAGAAACGUGUGUACAGUUGAUGGUUUCUCCCCCCUCCCCCCACCCCGUCAUGUACAGCUGAAUCACGUAGAAUUUGAAGAUCAAGAUGAUGAAGCCAGAGUUCAGUAUGAUGGUUUUCGACCUGGGAUGUACGUCCGCGUUGAGAUUGAAAAUGUUCCCUGUGAAUUUGUGCAGAACUUUGACCCCCAUUACCCCAUUAUCCUGGGUGGCUUGGGCAACAGCGAGGGAAAUGUUGGACACGUGCAGGUGGGUCCCUUUGCUGCAUAUUUGGUGCCUGAGGCUCUGUGGAUUUCCCCUCCAUCAGUCAUCUUACCCUCUCAUCCCCCUCAGAUGCGUCUGAAGAAACAUCGCUGGUAUAAGAAAAUCCUCAAGUCCCAAGAUCCAAUCAUAUUUUCUGUAGGGUGGAGGAGGUUUCAGACCAUCCUGCUCUAUUAUAUUGAAGACCACAAUGGAAGACAAAGGCUUCUAAAGUAUACCCCACAGCACAUGCAUUGUGGAGCAGCCUUUUGGGGUAAAAUAUGAUUACAAUAACUUGCCUAUUGCCGAGAUUAAACUUUACAGGCUGCGUUAUUUUAGCUUUGUGCUUUUCCUUUCAUAAAAUUCCACUCCUAAGAUGUUUCUGUUUUCUGGGAGCGGGGAGGUGGUUUGGAGUAUAUAUGUAAAUCUAUAUCCAAAUCUAAAUGUCCGUAUCCAGUAUGUUAAACUAGAAUCUAAAAUUUCUGGUUUGCUAUAUUUCUUUUUUUCCUUUUCCUUUAAGACCCUAUCACUCCACAGGGAACUGGUUUCUUGGCAAUACAGUCUGUCAGUGGCAUAAUGGUAACUAUCUUGGACAAUUUCUUUUACAGAUUGGUUUGAGAAAUAUAUCCUGAAUGUGGGUUAUUAUGUACAUGAGACUUUAAGUUGAAAAUUACUCAUUUUUAUUAUUAUAAAGUAAAUUUCCCUUUGCUUUUAA
rnacentral:lncRNA from 1 species